UACGAAGGGUGCAAGCGUUACUCGGAAUUACUGGGCGUAAAGCGCGCGUAGGCGGUUUGUUAAGUCUGUCGUGAAAGCCCUGGGCUCAACCUGGGAACUGCAUUGGUGACUGGCAGGCUUUGAGUGUGGCAGAGGGGGGUAGAAUUCCACGUGUAGCAGUGAAAUGCGUAGAGAUGUGGAGGAAUACCGAUGGCGAAGGCAGCCCCCUGGGCCAACACUGACGCUCAUGCACGAAAGCGUGGGGAGCAAACAGG
rnacentral:rRNA from 1 species